rnacentral:misc_RNA from 1 species
GUGAGUUGAGGAUUGUAAGUGAUGCAAAUUUGUUCUUCAUUGAAACAAUCUUGAAGCAUCUUGGAUUAAGGGAUUACUUCUCAGAAAUUAACACAAACUCAGGAUUUGUUGAUGAAGAAGGAAAGUUAAGGAUCUUCCCUUUCCAUGAUUUUACUCGGUCUUCUCAUGGUUGCAGCCGCUGCCCACCAAACAUGUGCAAGGGUCUCAUCAUUGAAAGGAUCCAGACUUCCUUAGCAAAGGAGGGAAACAAGAAAACCAUUUAUCUUGGUGAUGGUGUUGGUGAUUAUUGCCCAAGCUUGAAGCUUACAGAGGCAGAUUAUUUGAUGCCAAGGAAGAAUUUUCCCGUGUGGGAUUUAAUUUGCAGAAAUCCCAUGCUUAUCAAGGCAGAAAUUCAUGAAUGGAUCGAUGGGGAGGAGCUAGAACGUGUAUUGCUUCAGGUUAUUGGUGCAAUUUCUAUGGAAGAAAGAAAUGAAAAAUCUGCUCAGUUAUUCUCUGCUGAUUGCAAGUUGCAGACUAUAACCAUUGGGGCCCAUGAAGCCUUCCC